rnacentral:rRNA from 1 species
GAUGAACGCUGGCGGCGUGCCUAAUACAUGCAAGUCGAGCGAACAGACGAGGAGCUUGCUCCUCUGACGUUAGCGGCGGACGGGUGAGUAACACGUGGGUAACCUACCUAUAAGACAGGGAUAACUUCGGGAAACCGGAGCUAAUACCGGAUAACAUGUUGAACCGCAUGGUUUAACAGUGAAAGACGGUCUUGCUGUCACUUAUAGAUGGAUCCGCGCCGCAUUAGCUAGUUGGUAAGGUAACGGCUUACCAAGGCAACGAUGCGUAGCCGACCUGAGAGGAUGAUCGGCCACACUGGAACUGAGACACGGUCCAGACUCCUACGGGAGGCAGCAGUAGGGAAUCUUCCGCAAUGGGCGAAAGCCUGACGGAGCAACGCCGCGUGAGUGAUGAAGGUCUUCGGAUCGUAAAACGCUUUUAUUAGGGAAGAACAAAUGCUUAAGUAACUAUGCACGUCUUGACGGUACCGAAUCAGAAAGCCACGGCUAACUACGUG